rnacentral:rRNA from 1 species
GAUGAACGCUGGCGGCGUGCCUAAUACAUGCAAGUCGAGCGAACAGACGAGGAGCUUGCUCCUCUGACGUUAGCGGCGGACGGGUGAGUAACACGUGGAUAACCUACCUAUAAGACUGGGAUAACUUCGGGAAACCGGAGCUAAUACCGGAUAAUAUAUUGAACCGCAUGGUUCAAUAGUGAAAGACGGUUUUGCUGUCACUUAUAGAUGGAUCCGCGCCGCAUUAGCUAGUUGGUAAGGUAACGGCUUACCAAGGCAACGAUGCGUAGCCGACCUGAGAGGGGGAUCGGCCACACUGGAACUGAGACACGGUCCAGACGCCUACGGGAGGGAGGAGGAGGGAAUCUUCCGCAAUGGGGGAAAACUUGACGGAGGAACGCCGGGUGAGGGAAGAAGGUCUUCGGAUCGUAAAACUCUGUUAUUAGGGAAGAACAAAUGUGUAAGUAACUAUGCACGUCUUGACGGUACCUAAUCAGAAAGCCACGGCUAACUACGUG